rnacentral:rRNA from 1 species
CAGCCGCCACGGGAAUACGAGGGGGGCAAGCGUUGUUCGGAAUUAUUGGGCGUAAAGGGUGCGUAGGCGGUUUGAUAAGUCAUCUGUGAAAUCUCUGGGCUCAACCCAGAGUCUGCAGGCGAAACUGUCGGGCUUGAGUAUGGGAGAGGUGAGUGGAAUUUCCGGUGUAGCGGUGAAAUGCGUAGAUAUCGGAAGGAACACCUGUGGCAAAGCGGCUCACUGGACCAUUACUGACGCUGAUGCACGAAAGCUAGGGGAGCAAACAGGAUUAGAUACCCCCGUAGUCCCUGUCUCUUAUACC